rnacentral:lncRNA from 1 species
CACUAUUCCCUCUUGUGUGAGUAGUUUGCCACUUGAACACAUUCAUCUACACAAAAAUCAAUUGGAUGGAGGACUUGAAUAUGUACUUUGCAACAUCUCUUCUCUGAUUACAUCGGAUCUUGGCUACAACAGUUUUACAGGAAGUAUCCCAUAGGCUCACUUUCCCAUCUGAAUUUCCUUCUCCUCAACCAUAACCAAUUGGAAGGAAAUAUCCCAGACCAGAUUUGUUUGUUGAACAAGUUAUCCAUGAUGGAUUUGUCUUUUAAUAAGCUUUAUAGUCCACUCCUUCAUUGUUUGGGUAACUUAAAUCAAGCGGAAAAUGUUGGAAUUAGCAGUGUCACUUUUCACAUGAAUUCCAAGGUAGAGUGGUUAAACUUCUUGUCCUGGAUAAGAUCGACAAGGCACUACCACAUUAUUUAUAGCCUAACAAGUGACUACAGUAUGAUGGAUGUGGAAACUCGAGUGCAGUUUUCAACAAAAAGAAACUCAUACAUAGAAAGGAAGCAUUCUAAAAUAUAUGUCAGGUAUUGAUCUAUCAAGUAAUAGAUUAACUGGUGAAAUUCCCAUUGAGCUGGGGAAUUUGAGCAAAAUACAUGCGUUGAAUCUAUCACACAACCAUCUCAUUGGAAGAAUUCCAGAAAGCUUCUCAUACUUACAUGAAGUUGAGAGUUUAGAUCUUUCCUACAACAGCUUGAAUGGGAGUAUUCCUGAAGGUCUACUUGAGCUACAUCCUUUGGGAGUAUUCAGUGUGGCUUACAAUAACUUAUCUGGUAGAGUACCUGACUUUAAAGGUCAAUUCGGAACUUUGGACAAAAGCAGCUAUGAGGGGAAUCCAUUUCUUUGUGCUUAUCCAUUGGACAACGAAUGUAGCAGUACUAAAUUAUCAAAUACCUCCAAGAAUGACAGUGAUGAAUCUGACUUGGAUUAUAAGGAGAGUUUGUACAUCGGCUUUGGCGUGUAUUAUGGAGCAAUCUUGCUGGGAUUAGCUGUAGCACUCUGCUUCAAUCCUUAUUGGAGAAGAGCAUGGUUUAGGCUUGUUGAGUCAUUGACGCUCACUUCUUACUAUUUUCUCUUAGACAAUGUUGUUAGUCCUUUGAAGAAUUGGUGGUGAAGGAAAAGGUAAUUGUUAUUCUCUUAUUCUAUGAACUUUAUCGUUUGCUAUGUUGCUACUUUUUCAUCCUCAAUAAAAUUGAUACAUUUCAGACGUUUCUUUUCUCUUAUCUUUCCGUCGUUUUAGAUUAUGGUAAAAUAAUAGGUUACCAUAACAACAACAAUAACAACAACAACCCCUACCCCUACCCCUACCCCUACCCCUGGGUAGAGAGCCUGUUUCCAAAUACACCCUGGCAUCCUUCCCUCCAAGAACUUCCCAUCUUGCUUUUGGGGAGACUCGAACUCACAACCUUUCGGUUGGAAAUGGGGGUUGCUUACCAUCAGAGCAAGAGUGAAAUAAAUGGAAAAAAUUACGAGGAGACUUCAAAACUUCUUGACUUUUAAAAGUAGGCUUUAUACAAACACUUCAACAGAGAGUGAGAAAAAACCUUUUGAAGUUUAAAGAUAAUUCAUAAAGCAAUUCUUGAACUUUCCCUCAUAUUACCACAUUUGAAUGAGAUAUCGAUUUUAUAUAUACUGUGGAAGUUGGAGGAAGGCAGUGAUGACUUCCACUUGUUUUAAGCUUUAAAGUUCAAAUUAAAUGCCCUUCAUUGAACAUGAAGUUUUUUCUAUUUCUUCUCCCCAUAAUGAAAACACCAGAUUAUAUAUCAAGAGUUAGGGGUGUACAAAAGAAACUAAUAAAUCGCACCAACCCAAUAAUCCGAGUUAAAUCGAGAAAAAAAAUCCGACCAUAGUUUGGUGUUGGAAAAAAUAAUCCGACCAUAAUUGGUUUGGUUUGGUUUUAACUAAAGAAAGUCAAACCGAAACUAAACCAANNNNNNNNNNNNNNNNNNNNNNNNNNNNNNNNNNNNNNNNNNNNNNNNNNNNNNNNNAAACCGAAACUAAACCAACCCGACAUUACAUAUAUAGAAAUUUUAGAUAUAUUUAAUAUAUAAAUAUACUUAUUGUGAUGUAAUCUAUAAAUAUUUCUUACAAAAAUUGAUAAUUUUAUCUUUUAGGUUAUUAUUUCAAGGUUGGACUUACAACUUUUUGAAUAUUCCAAUAAGUUUUAUGGCCAUUAACACUAGUAAAUUAAAUAAUGCUAACAAAAGCCAAAUUAAAACCAAAAUCAAAUCAAUAUUAAUGCUAACAAAAGUCAUUCAAUUCAAUACUAUGGAUGAGAAUAUUUAUUUUUUGUUUUGCAAUAAUUUAGAUUAAAAUACACAACCUAUUUUUAUUUUUUCUUUAGCGUAUAGUCAUGUAAUUAAUAUUUCCUUAUUAGUCUACUUAUUUUAGCUUGACUUUGUACUUUUAAAUUAUUUUUAUUUUUAUUAUGGCUUUUUAAUUAGCAAUAUUGAUAUUACAUAAUUUUAUUGUCUUUGUUGUUGAAUAUUAUAGGAUAAUGCCAUGACACAUCUCAUAUUUUGUUUUAUUUUCUUGGAAAAUACUUUAUAGUUGUAUCUUACUAGGAUAAAAGAAAUAUUUUGAGCAUAAUUUAUAUGUUUUGUUCUAUGAAGAUUUUAUUGGAAAAAAAUUAGAAAAACCCGAAUAACCUGAAAAUCCGAGAAAACCCGAAAUAAUCCGAGAGCGAAAAAAUCCGAGUUUUAUUUGUUUGGUUUGGUAUUUAGAUUUAAUAACCCGACACAAUUGGUUUGAUUUGGUAAUUGUAAAAUCCGAACCAACCGACCUAUGUACACCCCUAGUAAGAGUUAUUAAUUCAGUAUAUUAUUUUUGAUUUAUUUACGCAUUUGAUUAAUAUUAAAAAGUAUUUAUAAGCAUUAAGCAAUUUUGGCUGGAUCAAACCUUUUAUUAUUUUAUCCGUAAUAUCUUUUGUAUUUUUCAAAACAUCCUUCCAUGUUUGUCAUUCGUUUUACAAAAAAUGUUAAAGCACUUUUAAAUUUACUUUUUUUAUAUAAAUAAAUUUAAGGAUAUAUCAAUUAGUUUAAUAUUUUUUCCAAACACAAUCACUACCCAUUAUCAUUUUUGACACUUCUAUCAAAAGAAUUAUACUCCCUCUCUUUCAAUUUACGUGAAUCCAUUUGACUUGGCACGAAAUUUAAGAAAAGAGAGAAGACUUUUGAACUUGUAGUGUAAAAUGAAGCACAUAUAUUUUGUGGGAUUAAUUUCACCGAUGGUCUCUCUAACUAUCUUUCCAUUUUACUAAAGUCACUCAACUAUUUUUUGUCAAUUAAAAAUAAUUAACUUUCACAUUGAGUCACUUAAUAGACAAGAGGGGCUUGGUCUGAUGGUAACCAACCCUCACUUACAACCGAGAGGUUGUGAGUUCGAGUCUCCCCAGGAGCAAAUUUUGGGGAUUUAUGCCGGGGAUCUAUUUGGAAACAGCCUUUCUACCUAGGGUAGGGGUAAGGCUGCGUACACACUACCCUCCCUAGACACCACUGAGUGGUAUUGUACUGGGUCGUACUUUUUUUUUUUUUGUUAGCAUAACUACAAAACAAGUAUAUUCCCGCAAGAUAUUUGAAGCAUUUUAACUUUUAACUUUUAACUUAAUAGUCAUUUUGGCUCAAACUCUUACCAUAAAUAUGACAUGGCAUAAAAUUUAAUGAGAAAGAUCCAAAACUAACUACCACAUAAGGUUAAAUGGACCAUACCCAAUUUCUCCCUUAACAUAAUUUAACCCAUAACCCAAAUGAGUUUCAAUAUAAAAAAAAGUUUCAUAUUAGUUUAAAAUGAUUAUCUUAUACUAUAAAAUUUAUGUCUUUUCUAUUACAUAAUGCCCAUUUAUAUUAUUCUAUACUAAAGAAAUUACUAUCUUGUUUGUAUGCCUCAUCCAAGUCGUUUUAUAUGUAAUUCUACUGAAGUUAAAAUACAACUAUAUCCAACUCACAUAAUAUAUUUAUAAUUUUCUAGUGAAAUUAAAAUAGUAUUGUAUUCAUCUUGCAUAACAUAUUAAUGUAUCAUAAGCAUACAAGAAUAAUAAUAAUAAGGGUAAUAAGAGUCUAUUUUCACAAUGAACAUGCAAUUACAUACAACCUAUUGAGAAAUAGUGUAUUUGUAUGAUAAAAACACCACAAAAAUUACACGACCUAGUUUUAUUAGGGGUGUGUGUUUUUCCCCCUAUUGAAAUCCAUUUGGGUUAUGAGUCAAAUCACAUUAAGGGAGAAAUAGAUCUAAAGUGGGUAUGGUCUAUUUAAGCUUAUGUAGCAUUUAUUUUUGGAUUUUUCUCAUUAAAUUUUAUGUCAUGUUAUAUUUAUGGUAGGAGUUUGAGCCAAAAUGACUUUUAAGUGACAAUGUGAAAGUUUAGUUAUUUUUAAGUGACAAAAAAUAGUUGAGUAACUUUAAUGAAUGAAAUAUAAUCGAGUGACCAUAAGUGAAACUAAGCGAAUCAAUGUAUAAAGGUAAAUUGUUUCAAAAUAGGGAAAGAUGUCUUUUUUUGCACGAACUAAAAAGGAAAUAGGUUCACAUAAAUUGAAACGGAGAGAGUAUAUAACAAUAUAGAGGGAGAGAGAGGCAACUAAGAAGAACUUAGAGUAAGAGACUGUAAAAGCCUGAGCUAUCGUUAGGGCAUAGAUUCCCAAAUUUGUUUUGAAAAAUCUGAUUUGGAUGAAAUUUGGUUUGAAGAUAAAAAUGUGUUUGGACAUAAGUUUUCAAAACAUAUUUCACUUUUUUUUAAAAAAAAAUGAAACAUGAAUUAUAUCUACAAGUUCUAAAAACUAUCACAAAUACCCAACAUUACCUUUAUCAAUAUCAUUCAUUAUAUUAUCCGAAACAGUAGUACAACAGCAACAACCACCCAGUAUAAUCCCACUUAGUGGGGUAUGGGGAGGGUAGUGUGUACGCAUACCUUAUGCCUACCCUAGGGUAGAGAGGCUGUUUCCAAAUAGACCCUCGGCAUCCUUCCCUCCAAAAACUUCCCACCUUGCUCUUGGGAAGACUCGAACUCACAAUCUCUUGGUUGAAAGUGGAGGUUACUUACCAUCAGAGCAACCCCUCUUGUCUUAUCCCAAAGAGUAGUGCUGAACAUAAAUAAAUUUGGUACAAAAUUAUUAUUUUUAUAGUAAACUACAUAAUACACUAUCGGAUUACCGAGAAGACGAAAUAACAUUGUUACAAAAUAAUAAAUAGUGGGCUCUGUUAUAAAAUAUAAAAGUUUGAGCAAUUUUUUAAAAAUGUAAUAGUGAUAUUUUUGGACAAGAGUUGGUUUUGAGAUUUGGGGUAUGGAAAUUUGCCAAAAUAUAGAUAAAAUCUAUAGCCAAAAAUAUAUUUACUAAAAAGACCCUAAAUAUAUUUUGGCAAAAUCCAUGGUCAAACGAGUCCUUAGUCUUAUUUUGUUCAUUUGCUUUUACGCUCUUCUUGUUUUCUCUUUUAUAAACUUUUAAUCAUCUUAAAUAGUUUAAUCUCCAAACUAAUUUGUACACAUAUCUGCUAUGGGAAAGGAAGCUUACCCAAUGCAUAAAGGAUACUGGUUCAUUGAUUCCAUAACCUGCCAACUAGAGUACCUUUAGAUUGCUCAACUCUCUACAUUUCUCAUUGAUGUCUUCAUCUGGAAAAAAAAAAACUAUUUCAGGUUAUUCUUAAUCUCACCUAAUGUUGUUCAAAAACUGCUUUAAAUAAAUAUACGAAAUAAUGUAUAAGGUUGAAGUAUACUGCAACGAUUCGUCUGUGUGCUAAAAGAGGUAUCAACGUAUGCAGCAAGUCUUAGAACCUCAAGAGAUGAAAUCCAACACAAAGAUGAUAAAACACGUAUAUAUAUAUAUAUAUAUAUAUAUAUAUAUAUAUAUAUAUGUUUGUUUAGCUCAAAGUUUUUACUUACUUUAGAAGCAUAAAACAAUCAAAAUAAAUGAAUGGCCAAUCAUGGCAGGUCGUAAUAAAUUCAAAGACCAAAGGAAUAAAAUAUAAGGAACAACAAUUAUAGAUUAAAGGGAGUAGGAUGAGGAUCUUUUAUUAAUAAUGUUGGUUCGGUCUGCCUCUCCAUGGAGAGGUUCAGAGCCUUACAAUUAUGCAUUCUCUCUUCUUUUAGAAGGAGAUGUGAAGAAGAAGAAGAAGAAGAAGCCCCCUUUUAGGGUUCUUUCUCUUAGUAUUUAUACCUAGGAGGUUCGCCAACUGGCGCCAAGGGGCUGAGACCACACAUAGAGAGGACACCCUCGUGAGGACGGCCAGGCCAUGACUUUAGUUCUCAAACUGGAUAACCACCUGAUAAUCUUGUGAAUAAAUAGCCAUACCAUUUAUCAGUCAUAAAUAGGCUUUAAUAAAUUCAUUGAUCUCAUUCAUUAUCGCAAUGUCAAGUUUUGACCCAUACAGAUAGUCCCUCCGCUUAUUGAGGUCGGGCUCGGGUCGAGCUCGAUGAGCGGAUUCCGCCAGUAACCGUAGCCGUUUAUGCGUUUGGGUACGAUCGUAGUCCUUUAUUCUUCGGAGACGGCCGUAACCAUUUUUAUUUUUAGAGAUGGCCGUAGCCUUUUCAAUCAUUCGGAGAAGGCCGUAGACAUUGUUAAUUUAGAGGUGGCCGUAGCCUUUUAUCUUUUGGAGAUUGUCGUGACCAUGUUUACUCUAGAGAUGGCCGUAGCCAUUUUUAAUUUGGAGAUGGCCGUAGCCAUUUUUAGUUUGGAGAUGGUCGUAGUCAUUUUUUCUUUAGAGAUGGCCGUAGCCAUUUUUAUUUUUAGAGAUGGCCGUAGCCAUUUUUACGCGUUCUCGGAGAGAGUACAAUCACGCUUGCCGCAUAUAAGGGGGAUAUCUUGUGCAUGGUGACGCAUGGGGCGUGCCCAUGGUAUCUUGAGGUCAUCAGAACCGUUCAUAGGAGACGUGCCGAUUGACGGUUGAAUGACCGUUCACUGGUAUCUAUCAUAAUGGUGCAUGUUACUGUAUGUCUGAACUGUUUUGCGGUUGGUCAGGUAGUUAAUGGUGACCUUUGGGAUUCGUGAAGGUCAUUUACGCUUUGUCUAUAAAUAAGGGGUUGUAUCGUUCAGUUCUCACUUUUCCGAUAUUUGUCUAAGUGGAAUUAUGAGAGAGAUAGCCUUGUUGCUUUUAUAGGUGACCUUUGGGAUUCGUGAAGGUCAUUUACGCUUUGCCUAUAAAUAAGGGGUUGCAUAGUUCAGUUCUCACCUUUCCGAUAUUUGUCUAAGUGGAAUUCUGAGAGAAACAGUCCUUCUUGUUUUCAGAUUAUCUAGUCUUUUACUCCUCGUUAAUCCAUUCUCCGUCAUUUUCGUCUGAUCUUCGUAUUUUCUUGUUUUUUCCGGCGAAUCUUGCCCUUUAUCUUCUCGUUACACAGAUAAUGGCGAGUAGUUCUCGUUCUGAUAUAGCUUCGGUAGUGGUUGCGGCAGCUGAGAGCACAUCUACGGUGGUGGGAACCACCGAUUCGCCGAAUGCCGAUCGAUUCCCGUCCGUGACCGAUAUUCUUUCCCUGCCCGGUGGUCCGGCCACCGACUUUACGACCCCCAGGGAGAAGAUCAAGUGGAUGAUGCUCCACUGAUGGGGGAGGUUGGCAUUGCUCUGUUGAAGGAGCAAUAUGAUAUUCCUCGCUUUGCUGACAUCGUCCUGACCAGGAGCGGUGAUAGGGUACACAUCAACCAUCGAGGCUACUGCGCCUUUUACGCCUACCCUUUUAAGUUGGGACUUAGGCUUCCUCUCCCCAUGCUGGUGGUGGACUUUUGUCGCUACUACAAGGUGUGCCCUGGUCAGCUCGUUCCCUCUUGCUACAAAUUAUUGGCGAUGUUGAUCAAAUAUGCGGAGUUGGCACGGAGGGAAAUUACACUUGGGCACGUGUUGACUCUGUACGCCCCUGAAAGGGUACGCGGUACCAUGAUUCGGUUGGUCCCUCGUGGGACCGACGGCUUAACUGCGGAGCUUGAUGACGAGGUCGCUACCCUUCUUUCGAACAUUUCUUCUACAUCAGGACCAGGCACCUGGUGGCCUGCGCUACUGACUUCGCAGAGGAGUGGAACCAUGCACGUAAGUUUCUUUUACGCUGGCCUUGACUUCCUUUCGUCAAAAGCUCUGCUCUAUGUUUGUACGUACUGACUUCUUUUGUUCCGUAGCGGUAGGUGCGCCACCGGCGCCAUUCUCUGGCAUCCGCGAGUGGAUUGAGGCCGUGCUCCCUGUUACAACAGGGAUUCGCACGUGGGCGUCUUUCUGGGAGGUUCAUGACCGUAGGCCAGCUGCUGGUAAGAAUCUGACUUGCUGUUCAUUGUUUUCUUUUCGUAGUCCUUAGUUUCGUUGGCCUAACCCUGCUUCUUUGGCUGGCCAGAACGACCACGACGCAGGAGGGCUCCUCAGAUUGCUUUCCACAGGCCAGGGGCGACUGCUCGAAUGAUUACAAUGUCGGCGCCUCGCUCGUUCCCGAGGGCGACUUUAGUGGAAUCCUUGGCUGCGCAUUCUCUGGUACAGCUCGAGCCCCGAGUUGAGGAGUCUCCAAAGGUCGUGCAUUCCAGGGCGGAGCAAUCACCCAAUGAAGAUGAAGAAGAAGAUGGGAGGCCGCUGGCUCGGCGCAGGGUGGCGUUCACUCCUGCUCUUCCGGUGGUGAUAAGUUUGGACUCUUCGUCGUUGGCGGAUGAGGGGGGUGCAGCGGACCUUAUUUUUAGAGAUGGCCGUAGUGAUAAGUUUGGACUCUUCGUCGUUGGCGGAUGAGGGGGGUGCAGCGGACCUUGCCCCGGAGGGCGAGCGCUCAGUGGGGGUUGCCCCGGUUGGCUCAGGCCCAGGUGACACAAUCGUUUCGGCGAUUCAAGUUUCUGUUCUUUGUUGCGGAGAGGGAAGGUAGUUCCUCGGCAACUGCUUUGGUGGAGAAUGCAGGCGCCGACGUGGUGGCGAAUGCGGGCGCGUCGACGUCUCGGGAGGCGGAGGCCUCAACUUCCAGGGCGGCGGAAGGAAGGGGCGUCUCAGGAGAGGGGGACGACUCGGGGUCCGAUAUGGAUCCCGAGGACGUCCGUCUUUUUUAGGAGGGUUAUACCCGCUCGGCUGUGCAGGCCUAAGGGGAUUACCAUUAUUUGGAGAUACCUAACGGCCUAAACCUUCUGCUCGAGGAGGAGAACCUGGUGACGCUGUUCGGGGUCCUGUGCUCGAAAGCGGAGAGCACGUCCCUGAGGGGCAUUUCGGAUGUCAGAUUGAUGGGCGAUGUGGCCGCCCUGAGUAUAAAGGUAUGUAUAAAACUUCGGUUUGUUUUUCUUUUUAGUGUGUCUUCUCGUAUUAACUGUCGUUCUGUUUGUUGUAGACAUUUUGCUGGAGGUGGAGAGCAUCAGGCAGGCUAACAUCCGCUACCACGACCGGUUUUUGUGCGGAUGUUGGGGAAGUACCGCCGCUAUCGCGACCGGUGCCGUGGCUUGCGGGAACGCAUAAGGAACGACCCACGGAACCGGGAGCUUGUAGAGGAGGUGGUGCGGAGGGAGCUUCAUAUUUACCAGACCCUCGGCAGGGUAACCACUCUUGAGGGACAGCUCCACCAAGCGAACAAAUGGGUGGAUGCUGAGAAAAGGGUGGCGGCUGAGAGGGAGCGCCAAAAUCUGGUUGUGGCGGUUGGGGUUGCUGAGGCUUAUACCAAGCAGGUUGCUGCCCUAGAGUCUGAGGCCGCCACUUCAAGGAAGCAGGCAGAGGACGCCCUGGCGAGGGUUGAAACACUGCAAGCGACCAACCGUGCCUAGGAAAGGGAGCGUGGAUUAGGGAGGACUGUCGCUGCCUUUCGAGAAUGGUCGUUGGAGGGGUGCAUUGCUGUCUGUGAGAGGGACACCGUGAUGCAGCGGACCAGAUCGCGGCCUUAGAGGCCGCGAACCAGCGCCUGAGGGGCCAGGCUGCUUCUUUCGGUCCUGCUCGUGAGCUUUGGACGUAUGCCGAGGCUCAGCUCGAUGUGUACAGGCGGUUGUGGGUAGCCGACGUCGUGUCUGAGGCUACUUAUGAGGAGGCAUGUAAAAAGGCUCGUGAAGCCCGCCUUGACUGUGGUUUUGACCCGUCUAUGCCCGAGGGUGAUGAUGGCGCCGAAGGCUCUGAUAAUACUGAGGGGGUGUUGAGGGCACCGAGUAAACAAGUGAAAUUUUUUUUAAUGUUUGUUUAGUUUUCAUUUUCUCUCUCUUUUUUUGUUUUCCUUGCCGGCCUUGGGCCGAUGUAAUUGGGGGCAACCCCGUGUAAAUACUGGAAAUAAAUGCGAUUUUAUUCUUUCCUCUUUGCUUUGUGUCGAGUACGUUAUAUAUAUAUAUAUAUAUUUUUGUGUGUGUGCCCGUUUGCAAGAGCUUUGCUCUAGAGUUUUUCUAGUGAGUAUAUUAAUAUCUCAAGCGGUUAGGUGAUUUUGACUAUUGUCAAACUGCUUCCUUGCCUUAAGGAAAGUUGGCGUAGAUGGCCUUGGCCAUAGAUAGACGCUUUCGGUCGUCACUUUCCUCCACUUGUUGGGAGUGGAUUGUAGCCGCAUUUGGGCAGUGGCGGCACAUAGCCUUAGUCCAAGUUGGGGCUUAGUCGAACUGCUGGUGGUGAUAAUGAAGAGUACGGCCUUGUAGUUCGGCUGGGGCCGAACUUUGUGCGGGUCAACUUUCUAGUUUGAGUCAGUUGUACUUACUUGAACGGCGUGGUGCCUGGCCCAACCCAAGGUUCGUCCGUGGUUGAGUUUGCGGCUUUUGUGACGGAGGCGUGUAGCCUGAGUUCUGAUUCGCCUCAUAGUUGAAUUCUUUUGUAAUUCAUAAUGGUGGAAGUGCUUAUCCCGAAUCCCAGUUUGAUUUGUAGUCGAACUUUUAGGUGAAGGCACGUAAUCGGAGCUGUCGUUCAACCGCUAUUGAACCUUUGUAGUUUCUGAUUUGAAAUUCAUAAUGGUGGAAGUACUUAGCCCGAAUCCCAGUCUGAUUUGUAGUCAAACUUUUAGGUGAAGGCACGUAACCCGAGCUUUCAUUCAACCGCAGUUGAACUUAUGUAAAUUUUGAAGGCGCAUAGCCUGAGUCCCAGUUCAACCGUGGUUGAACUUUUGGGCGAAGGUGCAUAGCCUUUAUGGCCGUUCAACUGUAGUUGAACUUUUAUAAUAUUUGAAGGCACAUAGCCUGAAUUGAAGGCACGUAGCCUGAGUCGCCGUUCAACCGUAGUGAACCUUUAUAGUAUUUGCAGGCGCAUAGCCUGAGUCGAAGGCGCAUAGCGUGAAUUGCCAUUUCAACCGUAGUUGAACUUCUUUGUGAUUUCUUGAAGGCGCGUAGCCCGAGUCAAGGGCACAUAGCAUGUACUACCGUUCAAAUGUAGUUGAACUUUUUAUAGUAUUCGAAGGCACGUAGCAUGAAUUGAAGGCGCGUAGCCCGAGUCGCCGCUCAAGUGUAGUUGAACCUUUAUAGUAUUUGUAGGCCAGUUCAACCGUAGUUGAACUUCUUUGUGAUUUUUUGAAGGCGCGUAGCCUGAAUCCCAGUUCAACCAUGGUUGAACUUUUGGGCGAAGGCGCAUAGCCCGUAUUUUCGUUCAACCGUAGUUGAACUUUUAUAAUAUUUGAAGGCAUGUAGCCUGAAUUGAAGGCGCGUCGCCUGAGUCACCGUUCAACCGUAGUUGAACCUUUAUAGUAUUUGCAGGCGCAUAGCCUGAGUUGAAGGCGCAUAGCCUGAAUUGCAGUUCAAUCGUAGUUGAACUUCUUUGUGAUUUUUUAAAGGCGCGCAAGCUGAGUCCCAGUUCAAUCGUGGUUGUACAUUUGGGCGAAGGCGCAUAGCCCGUAUUGCCGUUCAACCGUAGUUAAACUUUUAUAAUAUUUGAAGGCGCAUAGCCUGAACGGAAGGCGCAUAGCUUGAAUUGAAGGCACAUAGCAUGAAUUGAAAGCACAUAGCCUGAGUCGCCGUUCAACCGUAACUGAACCUUUAUAGUAUUUGCAGGCGCAUAGCCUGAGUCGAAGGCGCAUAGCCUGAAUUGCCAGUUCAACCGUAAUUGAACUUCUUUGUGAUUUUUUGAAGGCGCGGAGCCUGAGUCCCAAUUCAACCGUGGUUGAACCUUUGCAAUAUUUGAUGUCGGAGGCACGUAGCUUGAGUCCCAAUUCAACCGUGGUUGAACCUUUGCAAUAUUUGAUGUCGGAGGCACGUAGCUUGAGUCCCGGUUCAACCGUAGUUGGACCUUUGUAAUAUUUGAUAACGAAGGCACAUAGCUUGAGUCCCGGUUCAACCGUAGUUGAACCUUCGUAAUAUUUGAUGUCGAAGUCACGUAGCCUGAGUCCCCGUUCAACUGUAGUUGAACCUUUGUAAUAUUUGACAUCGAAGGCACGUAGCCUGAAUCCCGGUUCAACCGUAGUUGAACCUUUGUAAUAUUUGAUGUCGAAGGCACGUAGCCUGAGUCGCGGUUCAACUGUAGUUGAACCUUUGUAAUAUUUAAUGUCGAAUGCACGUAGCCUGAGUCCCGGUUCAACCGUAGUUGAACCUUUGUAAUAUUUCAUAUCGAAGGCACGUAGCCUGUGUCCCGGUUCAACCGUAGUUGAACCUUUGUAAUAUUUGAUGUCGAAGGCACGUAGCCUGAGUCNNNNNNNNNNNNNNNNNNNNNNNNNNNNNNNNNNNNNNNNNNNNNNNNNNNNNNNNNNNNNNNNNNNNNNNNNNNNNNNNNNNNNNNNNNNNNNNNNNNNNNNNNNNNNNNNNNNNCUUGUAAUAUUUUAUGUCGAAGGCACGUAGGCUGAGUCCCGGUUCAACCGUAGUUGAACCUUUGUAAUAAUUGAUGUCGAAGGCACGUAGCCUGAAUCCCGGUUCAACCGUAGUUGAACCUUUGUAAUAUUUGACGUCGAAGGCACGUAUCCUGAGUCUCGGUUCAACCGUAGUUGAACUUUUGUAAUAUUUGAUGUCGAAGGCAUGUAGCCUGAGCCCCAGUUCAACCGUAGUUGAACCUUUGUAAUAUUUGAUGUCGAAGGCACGUAGCCUGAGUCUCGGUUCAACCGUAGUUGAACCUUUGUAAUAUUUGAUGUCGAAGGCACGUAGCCUGAGUCCCGGUUCAACGAUAGUUGAACCUUUGUCAUAUUUGAUGUCGAAGGCACGUAGCCUGAGUCCCCGUUCAACUGUAGUUGAACCUUUGUAAUAUUUGAUGUCGAAGGCACGUAGCCUGAGUCCCCGUUCAACCGUAGUUGAACCUUUGUAAUAUUUGAUGUCAAAGGCACGUAUCCUGAGUCCCGGUUCAACCGUAGUUGAACCUUUGUUAUAUUUGAUGUCGAAGGCAUGUAUCCUGAGUCCCGGUUCAACCGUAGUUGAACCUUUGUAAUAUUUGAUGUCGAAGGCACGUAGCCUGAGUCCUGGUUCAACCGUAGUUGGACCUUUGUAAUAUUUGAUGGCCUGAGUCCCGGUUCAACUGUAGUUGAACCUUUGUAAUAUUUGAUGUCGAAGGCACGUAGCCCGAGUCUCGGUUCAACCGUAGUUGAACCUUUGUAAUAUUUGAUGUCGAAGACACGUAGCCUGAGUCCCGGUUCAACCGUAGUUGAACCUUUGUAAUAUUUGAUGUCGAAGGCACGUAGCCUGAGUCCCGGUUCAACAGUAGUUGAACCUUUGUAAUAUUUAAUAUCGAAGGCACGUAGCCUGAGUCCCGGUUCAACCGUAGUUGAACCUUUUAAUAUUUGAUGUGGAAGGUAUGUAGCCUAAGUCCUGGUUCAACCGUAGUUGAACCUUUGUAAUAUUUGAUGUCGAAGGCACGUAGCCUGAGUCCCGGUUCGACUGUAGUUGAACUUUUGUUUUCCCGCAUAACCCGCUUCGUGUUGGGCGGUGGCUUGCACUUGUAGUUUUUUCGACCGGCUGUCUGGAGUUGCCCCGUUGCAGAUCUUGGCUAGAGGUAUGCUGACAUGCUGUCCUCUCUUUUGUCAGGAUCCUGUGUGGAAAGGGGCGAGGUACCUUAGGCUUAUUUUCCCCGUAGGGAUGGGGUUUGCUUGGAGAAGCGGGGAUGCGGAAGCAGGCUCAUCUUGAGGUUUUUGACUUCCUAUGACCCGGUAUGCCGCUAGGGUUUAUUCGAGCUGGGGUGUUCAUUUUUCUCUUCGGUCUAAGGAUAAACUACGCGAUUCUGCCAUGAAAUCCCGAGAGACGGCGCCAAAUUGUUUACCUCAAAGUUUUUAUUUACUUCAUAAGCAUAAAAUAAUCAAAAUAAAUGGAAGGCCAAUCAUAGCAGAUCGUAAUAAAUCCAAAGACCAAAGGAAUAUAUAAAAUAUAAGGGACAACAAUUAUAGAUUAAAGGAAGUAGGAUCUUUUCUUAAUAAUGUUGGUUCGGUUUGCCUCUCCAUGGAGAGGUUCGGAGCCUUACAAUGAUGCAUUCUCUCUUCUUUUAGAAGGAGAUGUGAAGAAGAAGAAGAAGCCCCCUUUUAGGGUUCUUUCUCUUAGAAUUUAUAGUUAGGAGGUUCGCCAGUUGGCGCCAAGGGGCUGGGACCACAUAUAGAGAGUAUGCCCUCAUGAGGACGGCGAGACUGUGGCCUUAGUUGUCAAACUGGAUAAUCACCUGAUAAUCUUGUGAAUAAAUAGCCAUAGCAUUUAUCAGUCAUAAAUAUGCUUUAAUAAAUCUGUUGAUCUCAUUCAUUAUCGCGAUGUCAAGUUUUGACCCAUACAAUGUUCAACGAUCAUUAUGUUCUGUCCACCCUAUAAAAUUAAUUUCACGCAAUAUGAGAACUUCUAACCAUUUGAAUGGAAGAACCUUGUUGCUAAGUUGUAUUUUAGCCCCACGCCAAGAACAACAAUUUAUAAAACCACUCUUUCAUCCCCACUAGUAUUCUGCUCUUUUUUCUUUUGAUUAUAUUCUUUCUUUUCUGGCGCUGUAAAGCUUGCUGCUGUUGUAGCUAGCCGAAGGUUUAUAUAGGAAUUACAACACCUCUACUACCACGAUAAAAGAAAAUUUCUUUGGAUAAUAAAGGAGUGACCCUCUCAGUAGCUUCCCAACAUGGAUGAUGUGAAACUAGUCGAGUCAACAUUGAGAACUCCAUAGUUGAUCAGGCAUUUAUGUAGUUAACUGUCGAUUAGAACCUCCUGGGAUAUUAAGAGCUAAUUGACUGGAAAAUAGUUACUUUCAACUGCUUUAAUGAGUGAUUUUCAGAACCUAGCUUCACACCCCAAAAAUUCACUUGGAAAUUUUCACAAACACAUUGUACCCGAUUUAGUACUUGACAAUUGCCGCUAUAAGGGACACACGAAUAACAAGUAUUUGAGGUUUAAGAUAUUGAAAAUGGAUUAAGAAAGAACCUGGCGUUAGUAGUCACUUUAUCUUCGGCAAAAACGAAACUCCAAUUUUUUGCAAAAAUGAAUAUGGUACAAUUUUGUAAGUUUUUCUUGGUGCAUGAUUUUUUG